GAAAUGGAAGACGGCCAGUUUUCAGCUGGUUUUGGAGCUGGAUUUGGAACAGCGGUUGGAUUACUCGCCCUUGCUGCAGCAGCUGCUUUCUUGUACUUCUGGUUGAAAACAUCUCGUAAAUGGUCAAAACCGGAGACAAACCCAAGAUCAGCAACAGGAACCUAAUGGAAGACCGGAAGCUUAUUCUAGACCGAAAGCUCAUAUUGAACCUGAAGCAGACACUACACCCGAAGCUGACACUACAUCGGAAGCCGAGACUACACCGGAAGCUGACACUACACCGGAAGCUGACGCUGCACCGGAAGACAAUUCAACGUAUUACUCGUCGAUAAAUUCGACCAAUGCUGAGAACCCUUCUUAUGACGUUCUCACGUUUGGUGACAGUACAACAGAUAUAUACGAAGCUGUAUAAAACUGAGACUGUUAACUAUUGAGUCUGCCCAGGGGCGGACCCGAUGAGGGAGUGUACUCCCAGAAUAUCAAAGUCCCCGGAAAAAAUCGGCGUUCCAUGAGUGCAUCUCAUCACAGCUAUAUUUAUUCAAUGAGCUCUACCCUUUGUUAGUUUAGGAAGAAAGGAAAUGCUUUUUAUUUAACGACGCACUCAACACAUUUU